GCCCGGCGAGGUGGUGCCUUCCUGUAGUCCCAGCUACUGGGAGACUGAGGCUGGAGUAAUCGCUUGCCGCUUGGGUGUCCGUACUAAGUUCGGCAUCAAUAUGGUGGCCUCUCGGGAGUGGGGGACCACAGGUUGCCUAAGGAGGGGUAAACCAGCCCAGGUCGGAAACUGAGCAGAUCAAAACUCCUAUGCUGAUCAGUAGUGGGAUCACGACUGUGAAUAGCCACUGCGCUCCAGCCUGGGCAACAU
ensembl:misc_RNA Metazoa_SRP Metazoan signal recognition particle RNA